rnacentral:rRNA from 1 species
GUCUUAUUGAGAAUAAUUUUAAGUCUAACCUGCCCACUGAAUAAUUAAAUGGCCGCGGUAUUUUGACCGUGCAAAGGUAGCAUAAUCAUUAGUUUUUUAAUUGAAAGCUGGAAUGAAAGGUUGAAUGAAAAAAUUUCUGUCUCUAUUAUAAUAUUUGAAUUUUAUUUUUAAGUUAAAAAGCUUAAAUUUGUAUAAAAGACGAGAAGACCCUAUAGAGUUUAAUUUAUAGAGUUUAUAAGGGUUUUAGAAUUAAUAUUUUUAUAGAUUUGAUAAAUUUAGUUGGGGUGAUUGAAAAAUUAAAAUAACUUUUUUUAUUUAAUUACAUUGAUAGAUGAUUAUAUGAUCCAAAAUUUUUGAUUAUAAGAUUAAAUUACCUUAGGGAUAACAGCGUAAUUUUUUUUAGAGUUCUUAUUAAAAAAAAAGUUUGCGACCUCGAUGUUGGAUUAAAAUUUAUGUUUGGUGCAGAAGCUAAGCAAUUUAAGUCUGUUCGACUUUUAAAAUUUUACA